rnacentral:lncRNA from 1 species
AUGCAAAAGGCUUGCCUCCAGGUUACAACAACACAACCACACCACAAAACUACAAUCCAGACCCACAAAACUCACAACAACGCAUCAUGCGAUAACAACACAACUAAGCGCCCCAGAAAUACAAAACUUGACAACACAAAAGCCUUUUCUCCCGGUUGUAACAACACAACUACACCACAAAACCACAAUCCGGACCCACAAAACUCACAACCUUGCCUCCCAGUUGUAAGAACACAACCACACCACAAAACCACAAUCCGGACCCACAAAACUAACAACAAACAAAACCACAAUCCGGACCCACAAAACUCACAACAAUGCAUCGUUACUAUAACAACACAACUAAACGCCCCAGAAAUACAAAACUUGGCAACACAACACAAAAGCUUGCCUCUCAGUUGUAACAACACAACCACACCACAAAAACACAAUCCGGACCCACAAAACUCACAACAACGCAUUGUGACUAUAACAAAUACAAAAUUUGACAACACAACUCAUCCUCCUCCCCAAUCCCUACAUUCACACUUGGCCUCCAAAAAAAACAAUUACAGUAAUAACAAUGACAACAACAACAACAAUAAGAAUCAACACCAUCACAGGCAAGAAACAGCCAGGCACUGAGGCUGAGAGGCCAGUCAGUGCUACACUGGGCCUCCAAAAAACAAUACAGUAGCCUCUAACUUAUCCAACCUUCAUGACCACUACAACAACAACAAUAAUAAACACCUACACAGGCGAAACAAAAAAAAGACUAUUGUACUACAAUAAAAAUAUAAACCGCACUCAGCAGAAUCAGACAUUACAAUUAACAACAAACCAAAGACAACAGGGAUCUCAAGCAAUUAUCAAUCAACACAAAAAUUGAAGAAGGUAACAGACUUCAAAUACUACUACUAAUGUGAGUAUAAAGAAGGUGGAGGUCACAGCAUAAAUACAACCUAAUGUAGACUGACCAACACCACCAGACUAAGCCACAGCAACGCGUGGCCGGGCACAGCUAGUGUUUAGUAAAUUUGCUAGCACUGAGCUCAAAGA